ensembl:lncRNA
UUAACAAGAGUCAGGAAAUGUAAAAGACCUGCUUGGGCUGCACCAUGAAUCAAGAGGCUCGGAGGUCUGUGAGCAUCCCAGGAUUUGCUACGUGCCAGUGAGACGCUGAGGAUUAGAAAGUGGCUUUUCCACUCACAGCAGUCCAGGGAAGCUUUGCCGUUAUCACCCUGAACCAGAUGGAUUUUGAAGAGUCAAUGGAGAGCAAUUGAGGUGCUGCCGCAUCCUUGCCAGAAGUUAACGGGCCCUGACGCUGCUCAACUCAGUGCUGAGAGGCAUCAGGAGCUUCAGCUCUCAAUCCACAUAAAACAGCAGUUUCCAUUCUCCAGAAGGAAAUGGGAAGAUGUUCUGCUCGGGAUCCCAUCAGAGCGUGGCCCAGAGGAGCUGGUGCUGCUGCCAACCCUCAGCGGUGCCACAGCAGCCAGGCACCAAGAGACAGCGUGGCACUAUGAGCAUAUCCCAGCCCUCAGCCAUGCUGAGCAUGCAUGGAAAUAGCAGUGCUGCAUCUCCUGCUAACCCAGCGGGACAACAAGGGCUGCUUCACGGGGAGGUGACACAGAGGUGGCUGCAGAUGAGGCAGCUCGAGGAGAGAAGCCACCUGCCGAGGCCACCAGCUGUUCCUGUCCCAGAUCUGAGCCAAACUGUGGGUCCCAGACCCAAGAGAGCAAGGCACGGAGCUUGGAUCCAUGAACCUCUGGGAGCCAUUGGAUGGGGAACUCAACUUCAGUGCUCAGAAUGUGUGCUGGGAGGGACUGAGGAGCAGCUGUGGAGCUCUGUGUCUUACCAUCAUUAUGACUGGAGCUCAAAGUCAAACCUGGGGGCUCCAGUCCCUGAAAGAAUCGAAGGUUCCCCCGCCUGCCUCGUUAAACUCCAGCGUGAAAACCGCUCCAGUGAUUUAUGGAGAAUCAAAGCUAAAGCCCCACUCGUUUGCAGAUGUGAUGUUUGGAUUCGAGGUGUUGUUUCAAAGAAAAGUGAUGGAUCAAAACCUGGAGACGAAGUCCAGCCCAGUCCCCAGCAGCAGCCCUGA